AAUGAACGCUGGCGGUGUGCCUAACACAUGCAAGUCGAACGCCGAAGGAGGAAAUUGUUCCUUUCGGAUGAGUUGCGUACGGGAGAGUUACGCGAAGGUAACAUGUCUGCUUGUUCGGGAUAACUAUUGGAAACGAUCGCGAACACAUAACAACUGCAGACAUCGCAUGAAAUCUGCUUGUAAUCGGACCUUGCUCCAUUACAAGAUCCACCUGCGUUGUAUUAGCUAGUUGGUGAGGUAACGGACCACCAAGGCGACGCUUCAUAGCCGACCUGCGAGGGAGAUCGGCCACACUGGGACUGGGACACGGCCCAGACUCCUACGGGAGGCAGCAGUAGGGAAUCUUCGGCAAUGGACGGAAGUCUGACCGAGCAACUCCGCGUGAGUGAAGAAGGUUUUCGGAUCGUAAAGCUCUGUUGUAAGAGAAGAACGAGUGUGAGGGUAGAAAGUUCACGCUGUGACGGUAUCUUACCAGAAAGGGACGGCUAACUACGUG
rnacentral:rRNA from 1 species